UCUUAGGACCUUCUCAAAUGUCCUCUUCUCAAAUUUUCUCUUACUGAAAAGAUAUUCUUCACAUUACUUUCCAUGAUCUUCACACUUCAGGUCUUGACUCAAAAGUCAUCUCCUCAGAAAUGCCUUCCUGAUACCUUAUCUAAACAGGGUCUCACUCCACUGCCCAGGUUGGAGGGCUGUGGUGUAAUCACCUCUCACUGUCUCACUGCAGCCUUGACUGCUUGGAUUCAAGUGAUCAUACUGCCUCAGCCCCCUGAGUACCUGGGACCACGAGCAUGUACCACUAUGCCCAACUAAUUUUUAAAUUUUGUUUAGAAUGGGAUCUCACUUUGUUGCCCAGACUGGACUCAACCUCCUGAGCUUAAGUGAUCCUUUCACCUUGCUUCCUAAAGUGCUGGGAUUACAGGUAGAAGCCACACCACCUGGCUGAAUUAACAUUCUUAAUGCUUUGGAAAAGUAAGAGGCAGUUACUCUCAAACAAAAAUAAAAUUUAUGGUAAUCCAUCAUACUUGGUAAUAUGAUUUGGAUUUGCAUCCCCACACAAAUCUCAUGUCAAAUUAUAAUCUCCAGUGUUGGAGCAGGG
rnacentral:lncRNA from 1 species